rnacentral:rRNA from 1 species
UACGGAGGGUGCGAGCGUUGUCCGGAAUCACUGGGCGUAAAGGGCGCGUAGGUGGCGCGGUCAGUCAACGGUGAAAGUUCGGGGCUCAACCCUGAAUCGGCCGUCGAUACUCCCGGGCUUGAGCACUGUAGAGGCAGAUGGAAUUCCGGGUGUAGCGGUGGAAUGCGUAGAGAUCCGGAAGAACACCGGUGGCGAAGGCGGGUCUCUGGGCCGAUACUGACGCUGAGGUGCGAAAGCGUGGGGAGCAAACAGG